UGCCAAAUCUGGAGCGUCCUUUGUGGAA
rnacentral:piRNA from 1 species